rnacentral:rRNA from 1 species
UCGAGGAUCUUUCGCAAUGGGCGCAAGCCUUACGAAGCGACGCCGUGUGAGUGAAGAAGGCCUUCGGGUUGUAAAACUCUUUCGCUUGGGAACAAGAAAAGCAAAUUAAUAAUUUGCUAAUUUGAGUGUACUAGGUAAAGAAGCACUGGCUAACUCCGUGCCAGCAGCUGCGGUAAUACGGAGGGUGCAAGCAUUAAUCGGAUUUAUUGGGCGUAAAGGGCGCGUAGACGGUUUAGAAAGUCAGAAGUGAAAUUCCGGGGCUCAACCUCGGAGCAGCAUCUGAAACUUCUAAACUGGAGGUUAGGCGGGGAAAACGGAAUUCCACAUGUAGCGGUGAAAUGCGUAGAUAUGUGGAAGAACACCGGUGGCGAAGGCAGCUGGCUACACAAAUAUUGACGCU